GAUAGCCCCGUAGACGAAACCCGAUCACGCUAGAGGUUCCCAAGUACCGCGGGACACGAGAAAUCCCGUGGGAAUCCAGGAGGACCAUCUCCUAAGGCUAAAUACUCGUCUCUGACCGAUAGUGAACUAGUACCGUGAGGGAAAGGUGAAAAGUACUCCGAUAAGGAGGGUGAAAUAGAACCUGAAACCGUAUGCCUACAAGCAGUCGGAGCACCAUGUAUAUCAGGUGUGACGGCGUGCCUUUUGCAUAAUGAGUCAGCGAGUUACUCUUGCUAGCGAGGUUAAGUUCAUAGAACGGAGCCGAAGCGAAAGCGAGUCUUAACUGGGCGUCCAGUUAGCAGGAGUAGACCCGAAACCGGGUGAUCUAUCCAUGGCCAGGGUGAAAGGAAGGUAACACUUCGUGGAGGCCCGAACCCACUGGCGUUGAAAAGCCAGGGGAUGAGCUGUGGAUAGGAGUGAAAGGCUAAUCAAACUCGGAGAUAGCUGGUUUUCCUCGAAAUAUAUUUAGGUAUAGCCUCGCGUAUACGUGACGGGGGUAGAGCACUGGAUGGGCUAGGGGUCUCACCAGAUUACCAAACCCAAUCAAACUCCGAAUACCGUCAACGAUCAGCGCGGGAGUCAGACGGCGGGUGAUAAGAUCCGUCGUCAAAAGGGAAAGAGCCCAGACCGUCAGCUAAGGUCCCCAAAUUCAUGCUAAGUGGAAAACGAUGUGGAAAUGCCCAGACAGCCAGGAUGUUGGCUUAGAAGCAGCCAUCCUUUAAAGAAAGCGUAAUAGCUCACUGGUCGAGUCGUUCUGCGCGGAAGAUGUAACGGGGCUAAGCACGUAACCGAAGCUUCGGAUACUAGUUUACUAGUAUGGUAGGAGAGCGUUCUGUAGGCCUGCGAAGGUGUUCUGUGAGGAAUGCUGGAGGUAUCAGAAGUGCGAAUGCUGACAUGAGUAGCGAUAAAGGGAGUGAAAAGCUCCCUCGCCGAAAACCCAAGGUUUCCUGCGCAACGUUCAUCGGCGCAGGGUGAGUCGGCCCCUAAGGUGAGGCAGAGAUGCGUAGCUGAUGGGAAACAGGUUAAUAUUCCUGUACCUGUAUACAAUGCGAUGUGGGGACGGAGAAGGUUAGGUCAGCCGGGUGUUGGAUGUCCCGGUUCAAGCGUGUAGGCAGAUUCUUUAGGCAAAUCCGGAGAGUCAAUGCCGAGGCGUGAUAACGAGCGUACUUGUACGUGAAGUGAUUGAUACCAUGCUUCCAAGAAAAGCCACUAAGCUUCAGUUGUAUAGAGACCGUACCGCAAACCGACACAGGUGGGUAGGAUGAGAAUUCUAAGGCGCUUGAGAGAACCCGGGAGAAGGAACUCGGCAAAUUAGCACCGUAACUUCGGGAGAAGGUGCGCCCUGGUAGUGUGAAGUGAUUUACUCAUGGAGCACGAAAGGGUUGCAGUGAAAAGGUGGCUGCGACUGUUUAACAAAAACACAGCACUCUGCCAAGUCGUGAAGACGACGUAUAGGGUGUGACACGUGACCAAUGCGGAAAGAUCAAGGCGACUUGUUAGCCGCAAGGCGAAGCUCGGAACCUAAGUCCCCGUGAAUGUCGGCCGUAACUAUAACGGUCCUAAGGUAGCGAAAUUCCUUGUCGGGUAAGUUCCGACCUGCACGAAUCGUGUAACGACUGAACGACUGUCUCGGAGAGGAUCUCGGCGAAAUUGUAUCGGCGGUGAAGAUGCCGCCUGCCCGCAGUAGGACGGAAAGACCCUAUGCACCUUUACUGUAAGCUCGUAUUGUGUUCUGGUUCAUGAUGCUUAGCGUAGGUGGGAGACUUUGAAGCAGUGGCUUCGGUUGCUGCUGAGUCGCAAUGUGAAACACCACUCUUUGUGAACUAGGAUUCUAACCCCAUGCUGUUAGCCAGCUGGGGGACAGUGCGUGCGGGUCAGUUUGACUGGGGCGGUUUCCUCCCAAAUGGUAACGGAGGAGCGCGAAGGUACUCUCAGCAUGGUUUGCAACCAUGCGUCGAGCGUAUGGGUAGAAGAGUGCUUAACUGUGAGACCAACAAGUCGAACAGGUACGAAAGUAGGCCCAAAUGAUCCGAUGGUUGAAUGUGGAAUUGCCAUCGCUCAACGGACAAAAGGUACGCUGGGGAUAACAGGCUGAUCAAUUCCAAGAGUUCACAUCGACGAUGCGGUUUGGCACCUCGAUGUCGGCUUAUCACAUCCUGGGGCUGGAGAAGGUCCCAAGGGUCCGGCUGUUCGCCGGUUAAAGUGGCACAUGAGCUGGGUUCAGAACGUCGUGAGACAGUUCGGUCUGUAUCCGUCGUGGGCGUUGGAAAGUUGAGGGGAGCGGACUCUAGUACGAGAGGACCGAGUCGGACGAUCCGCUCGUGUCCCGGCUGUGGCGCCAGCUGCAACGCCGGGUAGCGAUGAUUGGCUGUGAUAACCGCUGAAUGCAUCUAAGUGGGAAGCACGCCCCAAGAUGAACUUUCCCGAGGCCUUGAGCCUCCUAAAGGGCCGUCAGAGACUAUGACGUCGAUAGGCCGCACGUGGACGUGGAGCAAUCCAUUUCGAGCGCAGCGGUCCUAAUCGCCCGUGUGGCUUGACU
rnacentral:rRNA from 1 species